CUUUCCAGUUAAUUCCUGCCCCACCCCUCCAGGCACCCACUUUCUGAUUUCUAUCACCAUAGAUUAGUUAGCCUGUUCCUUGGUGUCAUAUAAAUCAAAUUGUAUAGUAUCUACUCACUGUAUACAGCUUCUUUCACUCAGCAUAAUCUUUGGGAGACUCAUCCAUGGUUAUGUGUCUAUCAAUAAUUCAAUCUCUUAUUGCAGAGUUAUUCCACUGAAUCAAAUAAUGUUUUAAAAAUACACUCAGGGACUUCCCUGGUGGUUCAGUAGUUAAUAAUCUGACUGCCAAUACAGGAGACAUGGGUUCCAUCACCGGUCCAGGAAGAUUCCACAUGCUGUGUGGCAACUAAGUCCGUGUGCCACAACUCUGAAGCCUAUGCUCUCCAACAAGAGAACCCACUGUAAUGAGGAGCCCACACACUACAGCUAGAGAGUAGCCCCCACUUGCCACAACUAGAGAAAGCCCAAUCACAGCAGCAAAGACCCAGCACAGCCAACAACAAAUAAAUGAAAAAAACACAAUCAGAUAUCAUCACCAUGCUUAAACUCACAUGCCUAAAACUCAUUAAAUCAAGUAAUGUGCAAGAAAAUUCAAAAAUAGGUUAUGCUUUGUGUAUUANUCAUUGAAAAAGUGAAAGUCACUCAGUCGUGCCCUACUCUUUGCAACCCCAUGGACUGUAGCCCACCAGGCUCAUGCUAUUGAUUGAUAUCCCUGGUUCCCUCCUUUUGGACACUCUUUGAUGUCAGGUAUAACCAUGUGAGUUGCUUUUAGCUAAUGAAUUAGAAAGGAAGUGAUAUGUGUCUAUUCCAGGUAGAAUCUUGCAUGGCUGUGCAUGAUUCCCUUCACUUCCUUCCCUCUGCUGACAUGCAAGUUUGUGUUGAGAGAGACCCUCUACUGGCCUGGGCAACAGAGUAGCUCCAGUGACCACAGCCCUCUUGCUGACAUCUACUGAACACAUAGUAAAAACCAGAAAUAAACUUGUCGUAUGAAGACAAAGACAC
rnacentral:lncRNA from 1 species